CUGAUCAGUUGCCAAAUUUAAAACCCAGGAGAUUUUACAUAGAAGUCUGGAUUUUUGGUUCAUCUUGAAAAUUAUCUGGUCAUUCCAAGUCCACAUUCUCACAGAGUGACAUAGACUGUAGCUGAGUAGCUCCCUGGCCCACCUGGUUCCAUUGCUUCCUGGGCCCUAGAUGCAUUUGGUUUCCAGUCCCUGAACUAGAGUGAGCACCCACAGCAGCUAGCACUACACAGACCCAUCAUUGCUUAAUUCGACUACAGCCAAGGUUGCAAGCUGAUUAGGCCACAGAGCCCCAAAACCAAGAACUAGGGCCUUGGGGGUUUCCCAGGUAACUGAAGUAGCCCUCCCUGCUCAGGUUCACCCAGAGAGAAAAUGGAGGAAGGGAGCCAGCCCAGCAGCAUCACAGUCCCAUAGAGCAUCUGGGUGAGCAAGAAUCUAACUGAUUUUGCUGGAAGAAGGAAAGGUGUGCUAAGGCUGGAAAGACAUGGUAAUUUCCUCACUGGAAGAAUAUGAAAGAAAGUUAAGGCUGUUCCUCUAGAAGGCCCUUCAGUCCUUUUCUGCCUGGGUCACAAGAGAUGGUGUGUGGCAGGCAGAGAGCAGCUGUGCCAGCAGAAAACCUUCUCUGAAAACUUAGCUCCACGACUUACUGAGUGUGUGACCUUGGGCAAAUCACUUUACCUCUCCGAGCCUCGGGAGUCUACAACUCUAAAAUGGGGAUAAUAAACUUACCUUGUACAACCGUUGAAAGGAUUAAGGGAUAAUGGAUGCAGAACACUCAACACAAGUCUCACACAGACCGGGGACAGAAUGAAAGGAGCCAGUGAAUAAUCCCCAAAGCAUUCCUGCCUGCUGGAGGGAGACUCAGGACUGACUCAGGGCACCACCCAUCUAAGGGCAUCUUAUGCCAAGGCCUUAAAUGCCUGGGAUGAUGGUCAUCUCUGGUGCCCAAGACACUUUCCUGGAUGGGAGAGGAAACCCAAGGAUGGUUGUGGUCACUGGGAUGUUGAGUGCAAGGUCUACAAUUGGAGGCGGGCGUCUGCUGAGUCAGGUCUGGGAGAGCUGGCAGGAGGACCAUUUCUCUCCCCAGCACUCUGCCACUGCCGGCUGGGGGAGGUUGGGAGAGGAGCCAGAGGUCAUUUCCUCUGACUCAGCGGCCAUUCUCCUCCCAGAGGAGCUCCCCUGGAGGACAGAGCAUCUCCAUGUGGCACUGGCCUGCCUGCCAGCCAACCUGCAUGCCACCCAGUACAGUCUGGGCUUUGUGCUCAGACAAGAAAGAGACACUUGUGAUCCAGACAAUGGGCCGGGGCGCUCCCAUUGGCCUGAGCUUCAUCUUCCCUGGGUCAGCAAUGUCCUUUCCUCUGCUCCUGCCCACUCUGCUCCCACCACUCCCAGGAGAAUGGUGGCUUGGAACACGGAGCAGAAACCCACAACCGGCCUUAGUCGCGGUCUGACAUAUGCCCUGGCCAUGAGGAGGAGGAUGUGAGCUUCUUUCUUCUCCCCGGGUGGAAUGCUAUGGAAUGUUCCCCAACUCCUCUGUCCCCAGAAGCCUGAACUCAGUGGGAGGACAAUUCACAGGAUGAAGCAGAGCCGAGGGAUCAAGUCCUGGCAACACUGCACGAAACCCUGAUGCGGGCUCAACGCUAUGACCUUCUGGCCAAAUGAAGGAAUGAGCUCCAUGCCAGACACAAGCUUUAGCUGGGCUUCUGCCACCUGGAAUAUAAUGACUCGAGGAUGUCUCUGCCCAUGGGAUGCCUAACCCCCCAAGAUACUCAGUAAAUGGGUGAGAUCAGCACCACGAGGUGUGGUGGGCGCCGAUAUUCAGCC